GAACAUUUUUUGCUUGGAGUUAGCAAGGAAAAUGUACAAUAUGAAGUUUUUGUUUUUGAUUGUUCUCCUAACAACUGCUGCGCUCACGCACUCCGAGAGGGUACCCUGCGCUUGCCCGCCAGAAGCACUCGUAUGCGCCAACAACCAAAAAACAUAUGACGGAGAGUGCAAUAUGAAAUGCGACGCUUUCAACCAGGGAAUAGAGUUGCAUGUCGUACAUGAGGGAGCUUGUGAUUUGUGAAUAAUCCUUAUGUGUCGUAAUAAAGCUAAUGAAUGUUGAAUUAAAAGUGUUGUUAGAGGGA